GACAAACAGAAUGACUGCGUAACAGCUGUUUAUUUUUCAAUUGAAGUCUAUGGGAUUUUGGCUUUCUGGGACCAGCGGGUACUUCCUGUUUAGAACGCGAGGAGGGAGGGUAGAUCCCUCCGCCGGUAGGGCGAGCUGCGUCGUGCUGUGUCGCGGAGGGGAAGCGCUUUGAAGUACCGAAGUUUACAGUUAAAUACUUAACACUACAGUGCUAAACAGUCUCUAGACUUCCUGCUCUGAGUGACACCCUCCCUGAAGCAAACUGGGACAGCCAAAGGACUGCUGAUCCCUCAUCAGCUUCUGCAAGAUUAACAAAACAAUUUUAAGGAGGAAUUCUCGAUUGCAGCACCUUUAAUUCGAACACAAGCUCCUCCUCUUCCCUCUCGUUCACCCACAUGAUGGCUUUGAAGAUCUCCUCGAUGAUGUUUUGGAGAUCCCGCAGCUGAGCCAGCCGAUUGUGAGACAUUUUCUGAGGCAAACACAAGAUCUCUGGAGCAGCCGCUGAGGUGCCUCAUGCAUUCUACAGCCAGCUCCAAACACCUAUUGGCCUCAGCGGUGGAACCCCCCUAUGAAAGACGACAGAACUUCUGAAAAAUGAUUUUUGGUUUGGUUG